CCCGGGGACACCACGCUGCUUGCAGGUGCUCCCGGAAGCGUCCCUGUCACCCCGGUGCCCCGCGGGGAGCCGAAGUGAGGGUGGCCCGUGUGCCCGCGGCCGGGCCGGUCCUGGGGCGCUCGGCGUGGUCCCGAGGGCCGGCCGGGCCCGGAGCGCCCCCUCCCGCCAGGCACCCCAGGCCCCUGGGAGACAUGCCCAGGAGAGCCGCUGGAGGGAGGCAGGGAGGUGGCACCUCGUGGCACCGCCAGACAACAGCGCCGGGAGGAAGAUGGCAGCGUCAAGUGGCGACGCCGGGAGCCGCGAGCCCCAGAACAUCAAUGCCACUUGUCAAUCAGAAUUUCGUUCCAGAUGACAAGCUAAGUUCCCGAGCUCAGCUGGGAGUGGGGAUGGGGUGGGGAUGUCAGUCCGGGCCAUUUGGGGGAUUCCAGAGAGGUUGGGAAAUGGGACUCCUGCCCCUGGACCUUCUCAACUGAAGCAUCCCUUAACUGAGGCAUCCGGCCCAGCCAGGGUUCAGCGUGCCUGGGCAGCCUGGUGAAGCCCUGGUGGACCUGAGUUCUUCGGUGGCUGGAGCCCACAGGAAGGAGUCUGUUCUUCUGGAUUGAUGUACAGCUUCUUCCUUCUUUGUAUUUGCCUCAGGUAGUUCCGCAAAGAAUACUUGAUCUUAAAUUUACCUGCCUUGUCUUUUCCAAAAGUCCCUGUGAAGGUUUAUCACAAGUGCAUAAUGAACCCACUGCAUCAGUAGGGCCAACGGAUGUGACUGGGUGACUUAUCCACGCUUGACUUCGUGGGACAUGCCAUCCCUGUGUCUCUUAGAAACCAUGCCAGCAGUCUCUAACUGAUGACUUUAGACUGGCCCCUAACACCCCACAGAUGGCUGCCCCAGUGAUGGAUCUAAAAUGAGCAUUACUCCUUCGCACCCCAGGUUAAACCCCUUUUCAUGACCCCGUAUGGCCUAUAAAGUACAACUGAGCCCAACACUCCUCAGCAUAGCACCUAAGAUCCCUGCUCACUCCUCUGGCCACACCCAUCUCCCACCACUGCCCAUCUCAGGCUCCAUCAGUGCCAAACUGCCCACAGUUAGUUCCCUGGUCCUCCUAUUUUAUGCUUCUGUGCUCUAACACAUCGAUUUCGGUCAAGAAGCCUCACACACACACACACACACACACACACACAGGUACAAAAAACCUCAGUUUAGGAAUUUCCUCCUACAAGAAGUUGCUCCUGCCCUGCUAUCGGGUCCCCUCCCGACAGAAUUAAUUACUCCCCGCUCUAGAAUUCUCUUGCACUUAUGGUUACUCACUCGAUCCAUGUCUGCAUUCACUUAAAGACUAUGGACUUGUUCCCUUGGAUUUAUUUUUAGCUUCUCCCUUUUUUGUAUUUUUCUCAGGUAGAUCCACAGAGCAGAAUAGUUGUUCUUAAAUUUGCCUACCAUCUCUUUUCUGAAGAUCCCUUUGAAGGUUAACCACAAGUUCAUAAUGAGAGUGUGGAUUUUUUAAAAAAAAAUCUAUAUUAGCAGCAGAAUUCCCAAGAUAGCAGGUGCUCAGUAAAUGUGUUGGAUGAAUGAGCCGACAUGAAGUGGGGGUUAGUGAGGUCUGCAGUUCUGGCAAAUCAAAUUUACUUCCACCACUGAUUUGGGGGAGCCAGAUGGGUUUUCCUGACAGGCAGUGUGAAACUACUGGCCUCCACUAAACCUGAAGUCUUUACAAACCUAAGCUGAAGGUAGGGUUCUGGUGGAGCGCCUUGAGGUUGGAGACAGCAAGGGCCUGACCGAGGAUCCUUAUCGCCUCUUGGUGUGACGUGCGGCAACCCUGCUAGUGUACUACACUCAAACUCCAGAUGAGAUGAAAUAAUUCUCUGUCCUUUGGUCACCUGUUUGGGAUAUAAAUGGUUCAUUCCUAAAGAAUAAUGUCUAACAGAACCAGCUUAGAAGCAGAAUUGAUAUGAGGGGCACCUGGGUGGCUCAGCGGUUGAGCAUCUGCCUUUGGCUCUGGCUGUGAUCCCGGGGUCCUGGGAUCGAGUCCCACAUCGGGCUCCUCGCAGGGGACCUGCUUCUCCCUCUGCCUGUGUCUCCCAUGAAUAAACGAAAUCUUUAAAAAGAAAAAAACAAUUGAUACUAGAAAGAGAAUGGGUCUUGGAUUUCACUUUGAUUUUGACUCCUGCCUUAAAGGAUGCUCUAAACAGCAGUUUUGCUUCAUGGACAUUGUAGCCAAGUGUCGGUGAAGAGCAAACAUGCACACCUGGGGGCUGAGAUGCACGCAGCCCCCAGGCCCCGUGGCAGCACAUUGCUCAGCCUAGCUGACUGCAAAGACUAUGUCUACUGUGAAAAAGCAGCCCCUCCACUUGAGGACCAUGUUCUGAGGCAGCUCUCCUGCCCCAGCCUCUCUUACCUCCAUCUUAUUAGUCUAGGCGUACAGAAUCCCGCUCACACUGAAAUUACAGGGGAAACUUGGAUCCUCCUUGAUCGGAAUACAACCUGCCUCCCCUUCUGUAUUCGAGCUCUCCUCCCAGCAUAAGAACCUAAUUCAUUCCCACCCCAUAUCUCAAUUUCCAUUUACUACCCUGUAGAGGAGAUAAGCUGCCAUGGCAAUGCGUUCUUCUUCCAGAAAUCUUUGGUGCCUAUUAUGCGCCGGGCCCUGGAGACAAAGUAGAAAACAAGACAAAUCCAGGGCUUGGCCUCUUGGGGUUCAGGCAAAUGAAAAAUAUCGUAGAGGCCAUACAUUGUCUUCUCACAGUCUGAUCCAUUCGGAGAUCAGGUCUUUUCUGUAGGAUACCUCACAUACAGUUAACACAGUCGCGGGGCAUAGUCUAGGCCGGCAGACUGUGUGGGGGUGGCGGCAA
rnacentral:lncRNA from 1 species